rnacentral:lncRNA from 1 species
CUGGCUUUGGAGAACCAAGUUCCCAUGCUGUGGCAGGGCAUGUGGAUAGAAUCUGAAAGCAGCCUUUAGGGGCUGAGAAUAAACUCUGUCCGACAACUACCAAAAAAAAAAGGGGGGGGGGGUGGGAGGUGGGGACCUUGGUUCUACAACCAAAAGGAACUGAAUUCUAUCAAAAAACAUGCCAACUUGAAAAGUGGACUCUUUGAACUUCAGAUGAGAUAGUAGUCCCUGCCAACGUUGAAUUCAACCAGAGAAACCCUGAGCAGAAGUCCCUGCUUACCUGUGCAGCACUCCAGAACCAUGGAAACUGUCAUGUAAUAAACAUGUGUGUUCUAAGCUGCUAUGGGGUGGUCCUCCAUUAUGCCACAAUAGGAAAUGAAUGCACUAGUCCUCAUUUCUGUCAAUAACCCUGUGGAUAUUGCUGAUCUCCAUCAAAUCUGAGGGGUUUUGCUUAACAAUGCUUUACUCUGCUCCACUGGUUAGAUACAAUACUGUCUGCUUCUAACAAAUUGCCACCAUUUAUCAGCAAUUAACGCCGGCCUAAAAUGGAAGGGAAAGAAACCUCCAAGGAUCAGAGAGGAGAAUUUCACUUUCUGACCUUCCAAUCUGUGCUUAAAAGCUGUCAAAGCAAUGAUUUCUUGACAUCUUGGAAUCUGGAGAAUGUAUAGCAUAGCUCCAAUGCAGGGAUUAAAAGAAUGAAGAAGUUGUCGCUACAACUACUUCUGCCCUUGGUACUGCUUCUGCAUACCCAUAAAUGUAGAAAACUCUCUCUCUCUCUUUUUUUAUUUUUUGCCAAACUUUCUUUCUAAAAAAACAGUGAACGACAGAUAACUCCUGUGAAGGCUAAUUGGAGAAAACAGAUUCUAUUUAGAACUGAAAAUGGAAGUACAAACUAGUAUGGGAAAUAAACCUCUAAGACCACAAAUGUCUUCAACUAGAAAAAAGCAGGAAUGGGUUGAGUGAGCACAUUGCCAUAAAUAUUUUAAUCUAUGUAUG